UACGGGGGGGGCAAGCGUUGUUCGGAAUUACUGGGCGUAAAGGGCGCGUAGGCGGCGCACCAAGUCAGGCGUGAAAGCCCUGGGCUCAACCCGGGAAUUGCGCUUGAGACUGGUGUGCUUGAGUACGGGAGAGGAUAGUGGAAUUCCCAGUGUAGAGGUGAAAUUCGUAGAUAUUGGGAAGAACACCGGUGGCGAAGGCGGCUAUCUGGACCGUAACUGACGCUGAGGCGCGAAAGCGUGGGGAGCAAACAGG
rnacentral:rRNA from 1 species